rnacentral:rRNA from 1 species
GACGAACGCUGGCGGCAGGCUUAACACAUGCAAGUCGAACGCCCCGCAAGGGGAGUGGCAGACGGGUGAGUAACGCGUGGGAACGUGCCUUUUGGUUCGGAACAACUGAGGGAAACUUCAGCUAAUGCCGGAUCAGCCCCGAGGGGGAAAGAUUUAUCGCCAAAAGAUCGGCCCGCGUCAGAUUAGGUAGUUGGUGGGGUAAUGGCCUACCAAGCCGAUGAUCUGUAGCUGGUCUGAGAGGAUGAUCAGCCACACUGGGACUGAGACACGGCCCAGACUCCUACGGGAGGCAGCAGUGGGGAAUAUUGGACAAUGGGGGAAACCCUGAUCCAGCCAUGCCGCGUGGAUGAAGAAGGCCCUAGGGUUGUAAAGUCCUUUCGCCGCUGAAGAUAAUGACGGUAAGCGGAGAAGAAGCCCCGGCUAAUUUCGUGCCAGCAGCCGCCGUAAGAC